rnacentral:rRNA from 1 species
UACGGGGGGGGCGAGCGUUGUCCGAAGUUACUGGGCGUAAAGCGCGUGUAGGCGGGUUGUUAAGUCCGCUGUGAAAGCCCGGUGCUCAACGCCGGAGGGUCGGUGGAUACUGGCAGUCUUGAAGUGGCUAGGGGGAAAUGGAAUUACCGGUGUAGCGGUGAAAUGCGUAGAUAUCGGUAGGAACACCAGUGGCGAAGGCGGCUUCCUGGAGCCCACUUGACGCUGAGACGCGAAAGCUGGGGGAGCAAACAGG